CGACAAGAAAUGCUACAUAAGAGCAGUAAUACACCUGGACCUUAAGCUCGACCUUGUUCUGACAUGGGUGAUUAACUUCCUUGGGCGUCAAGUUGUGGGACACGGCUUCAGGCUAUACCUCAAGACUGUUUCUUCUGUUAAAGAGAGCAAAGUGUUUCAAGAAUGCAUCAGGCAACAGCCACUCUACAGCCGCAUAACGUUACAGAUGCUACCAAAAUCGAGCCACG